rnacentral:ncRNA from 1 species
CAGGAGGGGGCUCGGGCCCCCCUUUAAGCGAUAAGAUAAAUAAAAAUAGUAUUGAGCCCUGUUAGAUCAUAAGAUCUAAAAAUAAAAUAGGAUAAAUUGCAGGAAAGUCUUAUUCUUAAAAAUAGUAAGAUUAUCUGCAGCCAAGUCUACGUGUAAUACAAUUCGUUUUCGAUUUUAACACACUAGAAAGGUUCAACGACUAGAGAAUGAGUAGUAUUAACAAUAAUUUCUCCACGAACAUCCUACUACUGAAAAUCUAUUUUUAAGUAGAAGAUAUAGUCUAAUCUCAGUGGUGACAUUGAG